rnacentral:rRNA from 1 species
AACGAACGCUGGCGGCAUGCCUAACACAUGCAAGUCGAACGAGACCUUCGGGUCUAGUGGCGCACGGGUGCGUAACGCGUGGGAACCUGCCCUUAGGUUCGGAAUAACUCCCCGAAAGGGGUGCUAAUACCGGAUAAUGUCUUCGGACCAAAGAUUUAUCGCCUUUGGAUGGGCCCGCGUUGGAUUAGCUAGUUGGUAGGGUAAAAGCCUACCAAGGCGACGAUCCAUAGCUGGUCUGAGAGGAUGAUCAGCCACACUGGGACUGAGACACGGCCCAGACUCCUACGGGAGGCAGCAGUGGGGAAUAUUGGACAAUGGGCGAGAGCCUGAGCCAGCAAUGCCGCGUGAGUGAUGAAGGCCUUAGGGUUGUAAAGCUCUUUUACCCGGGAUGAUAAUGACAGUACCGGGAGAAUAAGCUCCGGCUAACUCCGUG